rnacentral:rRNA from 1 species
UGGGGAAUAUUGGACAAUGGGCGAAAGCCUGAUCCAGCCAUGCCGCGUGUGUGAAGAAGGUCUUCGGAUUGUAAAGCACUUUAAAUUGGGAGGAAGGGUUGUAGAUUAAUACUCUGCAAUUUUGACGUUACCGACAGAAUAAGCACCGGCUAACUCUGUGCCAGCAGCCGCGGUAAUACAGAGGGUGCAAGCGUUAAUCGGAAUUACUGGGCGUAAAGCGCGCGUAGGUGGUUUGUUAAGUUGGAUGUGAAAGCCCCGGGCUCAACCUGGGAACUGCAUCCAAAACUGGCAAGCUAGAGUACGGUAGAGGGUGGUGGAAUUUCCUGUGUAGCGGUGAAAUGCGUAGAUAUAGGAAGGAACACCAGUGGCGAAGGCGACCACCUGGACUGAUACUGACACUGAGGUGCGAAAGCGUGGGGAGCAAACA